rnacentral:tRNA from 1 species
GGCUUGGUAAGAACGGGACUUUAAACCCGCC